ensembl:processed_transcript predicted gene 12610
UUGCACCCAGAGACCAAAGGACACCUUGAUUUGAUCCCCUAAGCUGAAUGCUUUCCAUGUUCCAGGCAGUGUGACAAUGUCUCUCACGUGAGAAAGAAACAGGGUUUCUCUGUAUAGCCCUGCUGUCCUGGAACUCAUGCUGCAGAUAAGGCUGACCCUUGAAGUCAGAGAUCUGCUUGCCCCUGCCUUCCUACUGCUGAGAUUAAAGGUCUGUGUAUCAUUUGAGAUAAACUCAGUGUAAACUAUAAGUCAAAGACAUGUUCACAUUUAAUCUACAUAUAACACCCAGCAUGGAGAGAAUCAGAAACCAAGAGCAUGGUGUACUCAGUCUAACCCAUAGGUUAUGGAGGCAGGGCUGACACAGCGACCUCCUCAUGUGGAAUCACCGGGAACCAUUUCUGUUCCAGUUCUUCCAUUCUUUGGCAAGUGCAUGUGAGUUUCUGGAUGGCUUAUACUGAUUUUAGAUCAAGCAUGAGACUCAUAAUAGUUACUGGGUGACAUAAAAUGACAGAAACACCUCUGUCCUGAGCAGAACUUCUAUGUUGGUGAAAUGAUAAAUAUAAAUGCAAACGAAAACUA